GCCAUCGCCACUUCUCGCACGCCGCGAGCUCGUUCCAGUCAACUGUUGUCCGCCACCGUCAGCCGCCCCUUAGCGCUGUCCAUCCGGCGCUCUCCGGUCAGGAAGCGGCCGUCUCACACGACAGAGGAAACAAAAGGGAAACUUCUAUCGGUAUUAAAGAUCGAAGCUUUAGGAGAGGGUAUUAUUCAACAAUUUGCAGACAUCUCAAGAAUUUGUUCCAAAUUCGACCAGUGAACUAUCGUGUAUUCAAAGAUGUCAUGAGAUGCAGGGAACUCUAGAAUUAGUGAUUAUACCUUUGGAAUGAGGAGAACAAAUUGAGAUUGCAGGGAGGAUUUUUCCUCUCAACUGUGACAAGAAAAUAUGGUGCUAUGGGUUUAAUAUCCAGAGAGUUGUAUUCACUGAAUUGUAGUGGAAGAUUAUACCUUUGUUGGAAUGAAAGAAAAGCAUAAAUAGAGUUAA